rnacentral:lncRNA from 1 species
CAAAACUUAGAGCAAUUGAGAGAGCUAGCUUACAGAGCAUGAAUUCUUUCAAGACACUGGUGUAGUUAACAUAUUUUAUUAAAACUACUUGAGGCAAGCCAAAAAGCUGGAUUGGUGAAGCAGGCAUUGGUUGGCAUACUUUACAGAUUUUGUUUUUAUUUGUCAGUUUCAUUAAGUGAAUAUCAGCAGAAUAGCCAACGCAAGACUGAAACCCCACCCAGUAAAUAACUCUUGCAGUUGCUCUCAACCAGGCUUUCUCUGCAGCACUGAAUUGUAUAUUGUUCUUUAAGAACACAAGAAGAAAGACUUUGUACACUUGCUGGUGCCAUUUGUGGCAGAGAAGGACUUUCUCGGAUUGCUUUGGGAUGAUGAAGAGCGUGUCUCUCAUCCAAAAACUGAAAUGAUACCUUCAGGUGUUCCAUACUCCAAAGAGUUAAAACGGAUCAGUAAAUCAGUGGAGGCUAACAUUGUGCAACCAAAUCCCGUAGAGCCACAAACAUGCUCAUCCACUUCCCAGAGGAAAGCAACGCAUAGUUUCUUCAGCUCCUGCAUCCCCAGCUCAAAGUCCAGGACUUCUGGAUUAUGACCAUUUCACUAAGUCCGUGGCACUGCAUCUCAGUAUCAUGAAACCUUUGGAUUUGAUUGCAAAGUUAACCACCAUAACACAUUCUGUAUAAAAAUAGUAUGGGAAAGAAAAAAGGAAGAGAAGGAAAUUGACAAAUACAACAUGCAUAAAUGUUGUUGUUCAAUCCUAAGUCAUGUCUGACUCUUUUGUGACCCCAUUGACUGUAUAGCCCAUCAGGCUCUUCUGUCUGUCAGACUUCCUAGGCAAGAAUACUGGAGUGGGUUGCCAUUUCCUCCUCCAUUGGAUCUUCCUGACCCAGGGAUCGAACCCACAUCUCAUGCAUUACAGGUGGAUUCUCUACCACUGAGCCACCAAGGAAGCCCAGUGUAUAAAUAUAUGUGCAUUUUAUUUUACAAAGAUUUUAAAGGAUACUGUUUUCCAGAGCAACUGAGCCAUUUUACAGCCCCACCUGUAAUACAUGGGAAUUUCUCCAGUUCCUUGUCAAUGCUGGUAAUUGUUUGUCGUUUUCUUUUUUUUAUAUUACAGCCACUCUAGUUAGUGUGAAGUGGUGUUUCAUUGCAGUUUUAAUUUGCUUUACUCUAAUGCCUAAUGAUGUUAACCUCUUUUCAUGUGCUUGUUUGUCAUCCAUAUAUCUUCUUUGGUGAAAUGUGUAUUCAAAUCAUUUGGUCAUUAUUUAAUUGGGUUAUUAUUGAGCUGUAAUAAUUCAAGUCCUUUAUCAGAUAGAUGAUUUGCAAAUAUUUUCUCUGUCUAUUCUUUCUUAUUGGUGCUGUUUGAAAUAUAUACAUUUAAAAAUUUUAUUGAAGUAUAGUUGAUUUGCAAGGUGUUAAUUUCAGCUGUAGAGCAAAGUGAUUCAGUAUAUUCUUUUUCAUGUUCUUUUCCAUUCUGAUUUAUCUGAGGAUAUUGAAUAUAGUUCCCUGUGCUAUACAGUAGGACCUUAUUGUUUAUCCAUCCUAUAUAUAAUAUUUUGCAUCUGCUAAUUCCAAACUCCCAAUCCUUCACUCACCCACUCCCCUCCCUCUUGGCAAUCACAAGUCUGUUCUAUUGUCUGUGAAUCUGUUUCUCUUUCUUAGAUAUGUUCAUUUUGUGUCAUAUUUUAAAUUCCACAUAUAAGUGAUAUCAUAUGUUUGUCUUUCUUUUUCUGACUUACUUCACUUCAUGUGAUAAUCUCUAGGUCCGUCCAUGUUCCUGCAAAUGGCAUUAUUUCAUUUCUUUUUUGUAGCUGAGUAGUAUUCCAUUGUAUAU